rnacentral:rRNA from 1 species
AUUGAACGCUGGCGGCAUGCCUUACACAUGCAAGUCGAACGGCAGCACGGGGGCAACCCUGGUGGCGAGUGGCGGACGGGUGAGUAAAGCAUCGGAACGUAUCCUGGAGUGGGGGGAUAACGUAGCGAAAGUUACGCUAAUACCGCAUAUUCUGUGAGCAGGAAAGCAGGGGGUCGCAAGACCUUGCGCUCUGGGAGCGGCCGAUGUCGGAUUAGCUAGUUGGUGGGGUAAAGGCCUACCAAGGCGACGAUCCGUAGCGGGUCUGAGAGGAUGAUCCGCCACACUGGGACUGAGACACGGCCCAGACUCCUACGGGAGGCAGCAGUGGGGAAUUUUGGACAAUGGGCGCAAGCCUGAUCCAGCCAUGCCGCGUGAGUGAAGAAGGCCU